rnacentral:rRNA from 1 species
UACGUAGGCAGCGAGCGUUGUUCGGAGUUACUGGGCGUAAAGAGUAUGUAGGCGGUUGCGUAAGUUUGGUGUGAAAUCUCCCGGCUCAACUGGGAGGGUGCGCCGGAUACUGAGGGGCUAGAGUGUGGGAGAGGAAAGUGGAAUUCCAGGUGUAGCGGUGAAAUGCGUAGAUAUCUGGAGGAACACCGGUGGCGAAGGCGGCAUCCUGGACCGGUAUUGACGCUGAGGCGCGAAAGCCAGGGGAGCAAACGGG